rnacentral:misc_RNA from 1 species
GUGAUUAAAUCGAGUCGUGUCUUCAUGACCGCUGUGUACAGACCCUACCUUCUACCCUCCACAUACACCUGUGCACGUGUUUAGCCUGAGCCGGUUUUCCGGUCCAGGUAUCAGGUCAUACAAACUCUAGUCGUAUGAUGUAAACGUUUUAAUAAACAUAAUA